rnacentral:lncRNA from 1 species
GCAUAAUCUCAUAGAGAAUCCAUGUUCCUUAAGCAUAUAAUUGAGUCUUAUAUGAUGUAAUCAAAGAUUGAAAUACACGUGAAAGUGAGAAGAACAAAUAAGGGAUAAGAGAGAUGGAUUUAGAAGCAACAAAGUCUAGAAAGACAGGUAAAUGAUGGGGUGAAUAGCAAGCACGGUUGAGCAGGCAGGGGAAUGGGAUAAGGGCUAGGGGGAGGGAAUCGGUUAUUGGAAGAGAAGAAAGGUUUUUGCCAUAUUCAUGUGAUGUAAAUUUAGGAGUUUUUGUACCUAAAUAUGUAAUGAUUAAACGAAUAAAUGUAUGAAAGUUUGCAUAUUCAUUUCCAUUUAAAGCAAAGCUAUCAUUGAGGUUUCAUGCUUGCGGGGGAA